CGUUCUCUCUUCCCUCCCUUUCUUUCUGUACCUGUGAGCAUGAUUGCCGACGACUGGUGUCGCCGAACUUUGUCGGGGAAGAAGUUCCCUAUUCCGCCCCUCUUUUCUUUGAUUUUCCAGCAUCGGCGGUCACCACCGACCGCCGGCCUUGGUCCCUUCGAGCCUCGGAUGGAUCGUCCUCUUGCCACCGGCCACCAUCAUGCCGGCUACGGCCUUGAUCGGCUGGUCAAAAAAAGGGGGG
rnacentral:lncRNA from 1 species